rnacentral:rRNA from 1 species
UACGGGGGGGGCAAGCGUUGUUUGGAAUUACUGGGCGUAAAGGGCUCGUAGGCGGCCAACUAAGUCAGACGUGAAAUCCCUCGGCUUAACCGGGGAACUGCGUCUGAUACUGGUUGGCUUGAGUUUGGGAGAGGGAUGCGGAAUUCCAGGUGUAGCGGUGAAAUGCGUAGAUAUCUGGAGGAACACCGGUGGCGAAGGCGGCAUCCUGGACCAACACUGACGCUGAGGAGCGAAAGCCAGGGGAGCAAACGGG